CGGGUGAGUAACGCGUGAGGAACCUGCCUCAAAGAGGGGGACAACAGUUGGAAACGACUGCUAAUACCGCAUAAGCCCACGGCUCGGCAUCGAGCAGAGGGAAAAGGAGUGAUCCGCUUUGAGAUGGCCUCGCGUCCGAUUAGCUGGUUGGUGAGGUGACGGCCCACCAAGGCGACGAUCGGUAGCCGGACUGAGAGGUUGAACGGCCACAUUGGGACUGAGACACGGCCCAG
rnacentral:rRNA from 1 species